rnacentral:tRNA from 1 species
CGCGGGGUGGAGCAGCCCGGUAGCUCGUCAGGCUCAGAACCUGAAGGUCGCAGGUUCAAAUCCUGCCCCCGCAACCA